rnacentral:rRNA from 1 species
UACAGAGGGUGCAAGCGUUAAUCGGAAUUACUGGGCGUAAAGCGAGCGUAGGUGGCUUGAUAAGUCAGAUGUGAAAUCCCCGGGCUUAACCUGGGAACUGCAUCUGAUACUGUCAGGCUAGAAUAGGUGAGAGGAAGGUAGAAUUCCAGGUGUAGCGGUGAAAUGCGUAGAGAUCUGGAGGAAUACCGAUGGCGAAGGCAGCCUUCUGGCAUCAUAUUGACACUGAGGUUCGAAAGCGUGGGUAG